rnacentral:rRNA from 1 species
GACGAACGCUGGCGGCGUGCUUAACACAUGCAAGUCGAACGGAAAGGCCCUGCUUUUGUGGGGUGCUCGAGUGGCGAACGGGUGAGUAACACGUGAGUAACCUGCCCUUGACUUUGGGAUAACUUCAGGAAACUGGGGCUAAUACCGGAUAGGAGCUCCUGCUGCAUGGUGGGGGUUGGAAAGUUUCGGCGGUUGGGGAUGGACUCGCGGCCUAUCAGCUUGUUGGUGGGGUAGUGGCUUACCAAGGCUUUGACGGGUAGCCGGCCUGAGAGGGUGACCGGCAUCAUUGGGACUGAGAUACGGCCCAGACUCCUACGGGAGGCAGCAGUGGGGAAUAUUGCACAAUGGGCGGAAGCCUGAUGCAGCAACGCCGCGUGCUGGAUGACGGCCUUCGGGUUGUAAACCGCUUUCGCCUGUGACGAAGCGUGAGUGACGGUAAUGGGUAAAGAAGCACCGGCUAACUACGUG